GAUGAACGCUGGCGGCGUGCCUAAUACAUGCAAGUCGAGCGAACAGACGAGGAGCUUGCUCCUCUGACGUUAGCGGCGGACGGGUGAGUAACACGUGGAUAACCUACCUAUAAGACUGGGAUAACUUCGGGAAACCGGAGCUAAUACCGGAUAAUAUAUUGAACCGCAGGGUUCAAGAGUGAAAGACGGUUUUGCUGUCACUUUGAGAUGGAUCCGCGUCGGAUUAGCUAGUUGGUAAGGUAACGGCUUACCAAGGCAACGAUGCGUAGCCGACCUGAGAGGGUGAUCGGCCACACUGGAACUGAGACACGGUCCAGACUCCUACGGGAGGCAGCAGUAGGGAAUCUUGCGCAAUGGGCGAAAGCCUGGCGGAGCAACGCCGCGUGAGUGAUGAAGGUCUUCGGGUCGUAAAGCUCUGUUAUUAGGGAAGAACAAAUGUGUAAGUAACUAUGCACGUCUUGACGGUACCUAAUCAGAAAGCCACGGCUAACUACGUG
rnacentral:rRNA from 1 species